rnacentral:rRNA from 1 species
UACGAAGGGGGCUAGCGUUGCUCGGAAUCACUGGGCGUAAAGGGCGCGCAGGCGGCUAGUUUUGUCGAGUGUGAAAGCCCCGGGCUUAACCUGGGAACUGCGCUCGAAACGGGCUGGCUAGAGAUCGGGAGAGGAGAGUGGAAUUCCCAGUGUAGAGGUGAAAUUCGUAGAUAUUAGGAAGAACACCAGUGGCGAAGGCGGCUCACUGGCCCGGUACUGACGCUGAGGCACGAAGGCCAGGGGAGCAAACGGG